GAUGAACGCUGGCGGCGUGCCUAACACAUGCAAGUCGAACGGAAAGGCCCUGCGCUUGUGGGGUGCUCGAUUGGCGAACGGGUGAGUAACACGUGAGUAUCCUGCCCUUGUCUUUCGGAUAACUUCAGGAAACUGGGGCUAAUACCGGAUAGGAUCUUCUGCUGCAUGGGGGGGGAUGGAAAGUUUCGGCGGUGGGGGAUGGACUAGCGGGUUAUGAGCUUGUUGGUGGGGUAGUGGCGGACCAAGGCUUCGACGGGUAGGCCGCCUGAGAGGGUGGACGGCGACAUUAGGACUGAGAUACGGCGCAGACUCCUACGGGAGGCAGCAGUCGAGAGUAUUGCACAGUGGGCGGGAGCCUGAUACAGCAGCGCCGCGUGCGGAAUGACGGCCUUCGGGUUGUAAACCGCUUUCGCCUGUGACGAAGCGUGAGUGACGGUAAUGGGUAAAGAAGCACCGGCUAACUACGUG
rnacentral:rRNA from 1 species